rnacentral:tRNA from 2 species
CGGGAUGUAGCGUAGCCCGGUUAUCGCGCCUGGUUUGGGACCAGGAGGUCGCAAGUUCGAAUCUUGCCAUCCCGACAA